GGAGAAAUGCCGGAGCGGCUGAGCGAACCAGUCUCGAAAACUGGAGUGGGGGGGUAACUCCACUGGGAUUAAAAUCCCACUCUUUCCGCCA
rnacentral:tRNA from 2 species